rnacentral:rRNA from 1 species
ACCAGCACCCCGAGUGGUCGGGACGAUUAUUGGGCCUAAAGCAUCCGUAGCCGGCCUUACAAGUCCCCCGUUAAAUCCAACUGCUUAACAGAUGGGCUGCGGAGGAUACUAUAAGACUAGGAGGCAGGAGAGGCAAGCGGUACUCAGUGGGUAGGGGUAAAAUCCGUUGAUCCAUUGAAGACCACCAGUGGCGAAGGCGGCUCACUGGACGAUUGUUGACGCUGAGGUGCGAAAGCGUGGGGAGCAAACAGGA